rnacentral:rRNA from 1 species
UACGUAGGGGGCGAGCGUUGUCCGGAUUUAUUGGGCGUAAAGAGCGUGUAGGCGGCCAGGUAGGUCCGUUGUGAAAACUCGAGGCUCAACCUCGAGACGUCGAUGGAAACCAUCUGGCUAGAGUCCGGAAGAGGAGAGUGGAAUUCCUGGUGUAGCGGUGAAAUGCGCAGAUAUCAGGAAGAACACCAAUGGCGAAGGCAGCUCGCUGGAACGGUACUGACGCUGAGGCGCGAAAGCGUGGGGAGCGAACAGG